GACGAACGCUGGCGGCGUGCUUAACACAUGCAAGUCGAACGGAAAGGCCCUGCUUUUGUGGGGUGCUCGAGUGGCGAACGGGUGAGUAACACGUGAGUAACCUGCCCUUGACUUUGGGAUAACUUCAGGAAACUGGGGCUAAUACCGGAUAGGUGCUCCUGCUGCAUGGUGGGGGUUGGAAAGUUUCGGCGGUUGGGGAUGGACUCGCGGCUUAUCAGCUUGUUGGUGGGGUAGUGGCUUACCAAGGCUUUGACGGGUAGCCGGCCUGAGAGGGUGACCGGCCACAUUGGGACUGAGAUACGGCCCAGACUCCUACGGGAGGCAGCAGUGGGGAAUAUUGCACAAUGGGCGGAAGCCUGAUGCAGCAACGCCGCGUGCGGGAUGACGGCCUUCGGGUUGUAAACCGCUUUCGCCUGUGACGAAGCGUGAGUGACGGUAAUGGGUAAAGAAGCACCGGCUAACUACGU
rnacentral:rRNA from 1 species